UGCUUUCAGACGGUGAGCAUGAGGAUAACGAGCUGGCGGCUACCGGCGCCUACCGGCUUGGCUGCCUCUACGGCGCCGGAGAGGACAGUGCGCGACGAGAACGAAAUUAUUUCUGAAGCACCAGCGAAUCCAGACUAAACGAACUUAGCAUGCUACAGCAACAUGGAAUUUCUGAAGGAUAAUGUGCAAAAUCCUAGACAUUUUUUGUCAUCAUAUUAAUUGUUAAGAAGCAUUUAUAAAUAGAAUGUCUAUAGAAGAGAAUAUAACUAGAGAUUCUGUGACAUCACAUGUACGAAAUUUCUCAUCUGAAAGUAUAAAUGGAGAAUGAAGCACAUGAACUGCCAGUCUUUGGGAACUUGAAAUUUCUUCCAAUUUCGGUUAUCGCUCCUUCAUUCAAUUUGAUUUUGACAUUAUAUUUCAACACACUGCAAGUUUCCUGUUGAUAUUGUGUUGUAUAAUAUUCUACUGAUAAAAUCCAAUGACUUACACUAUAUACUGCAAACAUAAAUGAAGAGUCAACGCUUUGCAUGGACGAGAACAGAAAACUGGCUAAAAAGAGUGCAUCUGACUGGUGUACGAAACAGUCUCCUAGUAAUGUGUCCUGAUUCAGCUCCAUCUUCCCUCUCUUAGCCACCAUGGCACGUUUUACUCAAUAUUAGGAGAACUGACGAAACAGUGGACGCCUUGCAUUAAGAAGUGUGAAAAACUGUCUAAAGGGAGAGCAUCAUUCUCUGAUUGGUCUCACAGUAAUAUUCCCUGAUCUGGGUCUGGCUUCCUUGUCUGUAGCGUUAGCAAGGAUGCAAUGUGUCCACAACAUGAGCAGUUUCAGGGUCCGUUUUUGGGACUCGCCUUGAUGCUGAUGAGCUGCUACACCGCCGUAGGGCUGACAACGUCACCCCGCUUCAGCAGCCGCCCACUGGACGGAGCCGACGUCGUAUGCUGCCCAUGAGAGGAAGCCACUUGAUGAUCUCAGGAAGCACACUCCACCAAGUGAGACCAGCCUGCGUCUUGGGGUCACUCACCAAUGCCUCACAAUACUGCUAUUGUUGUAUGUUUUACUCGGAAUAAACAUAUCUAUUUAA